UACAACCUUGGCCUCCUUGUUGCGGAGGGUUACAGGCUGCCGCUGUCAGUAUUGAUCAACCUGGGCCUUUCAGAGCUCUACCUGCAAGACAACAUUACGCUUUGAAAUACCUUGUAUAAAAGAUGCAGAGAUUCAGAGGACACAGAUGGGUUCUUCCACUACAGCCUUGCCCUCUACAAUGUGUAUUUUCAAACAUUUCAAAAUGACUAUAACACUGCUGUUAAGGUGUCAACAGCAGCUGCCAUUGUUACAGCUUCAACAAUACUAGUAAUCCUCCCAAUUGCACUCAGAAGACUUGUGCUGUCCCUCAACUAGAGCCAAGAUUCACUACCAAUGGAUGAGGCUACUUCCAUCAUGCUGUUGAGACUGAUGAAUAUUCACAGGCUGUGUGUGGUCUCACUGAGAUGAGCCUAAGCUUGAUUUGAGAGCGCCAGUUAUUAGAGAACAGGCACAGUCCUGAUAACCCAUACCUCCUGAGACAAUUAUAUUCCCAUUUUUUUUUGUAGCAUGUAAUGACAGUGACAAUAUAAAUGUAACGGAGUAAAAGUAUCAUUUUUUUCUUUUUAAAUGUAGUGAAGUAAAAGUGAAAGUUGCAAAAAAUAUAGAAACUCAAGUAAAGUAUAGAUACUCCCAAAACCUACAUAAGUACUGCAACAAAGUACUUUUACUUCGUUCCUUUACACCACAGAGUAAAAGUAAUAAGUUCCCUCCAAAAAUAAUACUCAAGUUAAGUACAGAUACUCCAAAAAUGUACUUAAA